rnacentral:rRNA from 1 species
UACGUAGGGUGCAAGCGUUGUCCGGAUUUAUUGGGCGUAAAGAGCCCGUAGGCGGCUUGUCGCGUCGUCCGUGAAAACCCGGAGCUCAACUCCGGGCCUGCAGUCGAUACGGGCAGACUGGAGUUCGGCAGGGGAGACUGGAAUUCCUGGUGUAGCGGUGAAAUGCGCAGAUAUCAGGAGGAACACCGGUGGCGAAGGCGGGUCUCUGGGCCGAUACUGACGCUGAGGAGCGAAAGCGUGGGGAGCGAACAGG